rnacentral:rRNA from 1 species
UACGUAGGGUGCGAGCGUUAAUCGGAAUUACUGGGCGUAAAGCGUGCGCAGGCGGUUUUGUAAGCCAGAUGUGAAAGCCCCGGGCUCAACCUGGGAAUGGCAUUUGGGACUGGAAGGCUUGAGUGCGGCAGAGGAGACUGGAAUUCCUGGUGUAGCAGUGAAAUGCGUAGAUAUCAGGAGGAAUACCGAUGGCGAAGGCAGGUCUCUGGGCUGACACUGACGCUCAUGCACGAAAGCGUGGGGAGCAAACAGG